UACGUAGGGGGGCGAGCGUUGUCCGGAAUUAUUGGGCGUAAAGAGCUCGUAGGCGGCCUGUCGCGUCGACUGUGAAAAACUCACGGCUCAACCGUGGGACUGCAGUCGAUACGGGGCAGGCUAGAGUUCGGUAGGGGGAGACUGGAAUUCCUGGUGUAGCGGUGAAAUGCGCAGAUAUCAGGAAGAACACCAACGGCGAAGGCAGCUCGCUGGGACGGUACUGACGCUGAGACGCGAAAGCGUGGGGAGCGAACAGG
rnacentral:rRNA from 1 species